rnacentral:rRNA from 1 species
UACGUAGGGGGCAAGCGUUGUCCGGAAUCAUUGGGCGUAAAGCGCGUGUAGGCGGUUCGGUAAGUCUGCUGUGAAAGUCCAGGGCUCAACCCUGGGAUGCCGGUGGAUACUGUCGGACUAGAGUACGGAAGAGGCGAGUGGAAUUUCCGGUGUAGCGGUGAAAUGCGCAGAUAUCGGGAGGAACACCAAUUGCGAAGGCAGCUCGCUGGGACGUUACUGACGCUGAGACGCGAAAGCGUGGGGAGCAACAGG